rnacentral:rRNA from 1 species
GACGAACGCUGGCGGCGCGCUUAACACAUGCAAGUCGAGCGGGAACCGGGCCUUCGGGCCCGGGGACAGCGGCGAACGGGUGAGUAACACGUGGGUAAUCUGCCCUCGGUACUGGGAUAGCCCGGGGAAACCCGGAUUAAUACCGGAUAGCCCUUCGAGCCUUCGGGCUCGCAGGAAAAGGUAGCUUCGGCCUCCGACCGAGGAUGAGCCCGCGGCGGAUUAGCUUGUUGGUGGGGUAACGGCCUACCAAGGCGACGAUCCGUAGCUGGUCUGAGAGGACGAUCAGCCACACUGGGACUGGGACACGGCCCAGACUCCUACGGGAGGCAGCAGUGGGGAAUCUUGCCCAAUGGGCGAAAGCCUGAGGCAGCGACGCCGCGUGCGGGAAGAAGGCCCUCGGGUUGUAAACCGCUUUCAGGAGGGACGAAGCCACUCGGGUUAAUAGCCUAGAGGGUGACGGUACCUCCAGAAGAAGCCCCGGCUAACUACGUGCCAGCCGCCGCGGUAAUAC